rnacentral:rRNA from 1 species
UACAGAGGUCUCAAGCGUUGUUCGGAUUCAUUGGGCGUAAAGGGUGCGUAGGCGGCGCGGUAAGUCGGGUGUGAAAUCUCGGAGCUUAACUCCGAAACUGCAUUCGAUACUGCCGUGCUUGAGGACUGGAGAGGAGACUGGAAUUUACGGUGUAGCGGUGAAAUGCGUAGAUAUCGUAAGGAAGACCAGUGGCGAAGGCGAGUCUCUGGACCGAGACUGACGCUGAGGCGCGAAAGCGUGGGGAGCAAACAGG